rnacentral:rRNA from 1 species
UACGUAGGGGCCUAGCGUUGUCCGGAUUUAUUGGGCGUAAAGAGCUCGUAGGCGGUUUGGUGAGUCGGGUGUGAAAUCUCCACGCUCAACGUGGAGGAGCCACCCGAUACUGCCAUGACUAGAGUCCGGUAGGGGAGUGUGGAAUUCCCGGUGUAGCGGUGAAAUGCGCAGAUAUCGGGAGGAACACCAAUGGCGAAGGCAGCUCGCUGGGACGGUACUGACGCUGAGACGCGAAAGCGUGGGGAGCAAACAGG